GGACCUUUAGCUCAGUUGGUAGAGCUGCCUAUUCAUGAUAGGCUGGUCGUGGGUUCGAGCCCUACAAGGUCCA
rnacentral:tRNA from 1 species